rnacentral:rRNA from 1 species
CAUGAGUACAGUGGCGUACGAGGUGAGUAACACAAGUGACUAACCUACCCUCGAGUGGGGAAUAACCUCGGGAAACCGGGGCUAAUACCGACAUAACAUCUUCGAACGAUCAAAAAUGCGUAAGCAGCUUGAGGAGGGGGUCGCGGCCGAUUAGCUAGUUGGCGGGGUAAUGGCCCACCAAGGCAAUGAUCGGUAGCCGGCCUGAGAGGGCGCACGGCCACACUGGAACUGAAACACGGUCCAGACUCCUACGAGGAGGCAGCAGUGGGGAAUUUUGCGCAAUGGGGGAAACCCUGACGCAGCAACGCCAACGUGCGAUGGAGGAAAUGAAGCCCCUUGGGGUGUAAACUCCUUUCGAUCGGGACGAUAUGACGGUACCGGAUGAAGAAGCACCGGCUAACUCUGUGCCAGCAGCCGCGGUAAUACAGAGGGUGCAAGCGUUGUUCGGAAUUAUUGGGCGUAAAGGGUGCGUAGGCGGUGCGGUAAGUCUGUUGUGAAAUCUCCGGGCUCAACUCGGAGCCUGCAAAAAACGGAAACUGCUGUGAACCUUGAGUAUGGGAGAGGUGAGGUCCUAGCCCUAAACUAUGAUCGCUUGGUGUGACAGGUACCCAAUCAACUGUCGUGCCGGAGCUAACGCGUUAAGCGAUCCGCCUGGGGAGUACGGUCGCAAGGCUGAAACUCAAAGGAAUUGACGGGGGCCAACCGCACAAGCGGUGGAGCAUGUGGUUCAAUUCGACGCAACGCGAAGAAACCUUACCUGGGCUCGAAGCGUAGUGGAAACUGAACGGUAGAAAUAUCUCUUUCCCGCAAGGGACUGCUACGUAGGUGCUGCAUGGCUGUCGUCAGCACCUCGUGUCGUGAGAUGUUGGGUUAAGUCCCGCAACGAGCGCAACCCUUAUUGCCAGUUGCAACCAUCAUUUAGUUGGGACACUAACUGGCGAAACCGCCCCGGAUAACGGGGAGGAAGGUGGGGAUGACGUACAAGUCACCCUCAUGGCCUUUAUGUCCAGGGCUACACACGUGCUACAAAUGGUUGGUACAAACCGUCGCAAACCCGCGAGGGGGAGCUAAUCGGAAAAAAGCCAAUCCCAGUCCGGAUUGGAGUCUG